UACAGAGGGGGCAAGCGUUAUUCGGAAUUAUUGGGCGUAAAGGGCGCGUAGGCGGCCUGGCAAGUGGAAGGUGAAAUCCCUCGGCUUAACCGAGGAACUGCCUUCCAAACUGCUUGGCUUGAGUCCGGGAGAGGUGAGUGGAAUUCCCAGUGUAGCGGUGAAAUGCGUAGAUAUCGGGAGGAACACCAGUGGCGAAGGCGACUUCCUGGCCUGUUCUUGACGCUGAGGCGCGAAAGCUAGGGGAGCAAACGGG
rnacentral:rRNA from 1 species